UACAGAGGGGGCAAGCGUUAUUCGGAAUUAUUGGGCGUAAAGGGCGCGUAGGCGGCUUUUCAAGUGACGGGUGAAAUCCCUCGGCUUAACCGAGGAACUGCCUGUCAGACUGGAAGGCUUGAGACCGGGAGAGGUGAGUGGAAUUCCCAGUGUAGCGGUGAAAUGCGUAGAUAUUGGGAGGAACACCGGUGGCGAAGGCGGCUACCUGGACCGGUUCUGACGCUGAUGCGCGAAAGCGUGGGUAGCAAACAGG
rnacentral:rRNA from 1 species